UGGGGAAUCUUCCGCAAUGGCCGAAAGUCUGACGGAGCAACGCCGCGUGAGUGAAGACGGCCUUCGGGUUGUAAAGCCCUGUUUUUCGGGAAGAACGAUUCGUUUGUGAACAAUGAACGGAAGUGACGGUACCGAACGAGAAAGCCACGGCUAACUACGUGCCAGCAGCCGCGGUAAUACGUAGGUGGCAAGCGUUGUCCGGAAUUAUUGGGCGUAAAGAGCGCGUAGGCGGUAUGGUAAGUCUGUCUUAGAAGUGCGGGGCUUAACGCCGUAAGGGGACAGGGACUGUCAUACUGGAGUCUCAGAGGGGAAAGCAGAAUUCCUAGGUGCGCGGUUGAAUGCGUAGGGAAUAGGAAGAACACCGGGGGCGAAGGGUGCGAUCAGGACGAGCACUGACGCUAAAGCGCGAAAGCGUGGGGAGCGAACAGG
rnacentral:rRNA from 1 species